rnacentral:rRNA from 1 species
UACGUAGGGGGCUAGCGUUGUCCGGAAUCAUUGGGCGUAAAGCGCGUGUAGGCGGUCCGGUAAGUCCGCUGUGAAAGUCGAGGGCUCAACCCUCGAAUGCCGGUGGAUACUGUCGGGCUUGAGUACGGGAGAGGCGAGUGGAAUUCCUGGUGUAGCGGUGAAAUGCGCAGAUAUCAGGAGGAACACCGGCGGCGAAGGCGGGUCUCUGGGCCGUAACUGACGCUGAGGAGCGAAAGCGUGGGGAGCGAACAGG